AACGAACGCUGGCGGCGUGCCUAACACAUGCAAGUCGAACGAGACCUUCGGGUCUAGUGGCGCACGGGGGCGUGACGCGUGGGAAGCAGCCCGUAGGUUCGGAAUAACUCCCCGGAGGGGGUGCUAAUACAGGGAAAUGUCUUCCGGCCAGAGAUUUAUUGCCUUUGGAUGGGCCCGCGUUAGCUUAGAUGGUUGGUAGAGUAAAAGCCUACCAAGGCGACGAUCCAUAGCUGGUGUGAGAGGAUGAUCAGGGCCACUGGGACUGAGACACGGCCCAGACUCCUGCCGGAGGCAGCAGUGGGGAAUAUUCGACGCUGGGCGAGAGCCUGAUCCAGCCAUGCCGCGUGAGUGAUGAAGGCCUUAGGGUUGUAAAGCUCUGUUAACCGGGCUGAUAAUGACAGUACCGUGAGAAUAAGCUCCGGCUAACUCCGUG
rnacentral:rRNA from 1 species